rnacentral:rRNA from 1 species
UACGUAGGGUGCGAGCGUUGUCCGGAAUUAUUGGGCGUAAAGAGCUCGUAGGCGGUCUGUCGCGUCGAUCGUGAAAACUUGGGGCUUAACCCUGAGCUUGCGGUCGAUACGGGCAUGACUGGAGUUCGGCAGGGGAGACUGGAAUUCCUGGUGUAGCGGUGAAAUGCGCAGAUAUCAGGAGGAACACCGGUGGCGAAGGCGGCCUGCUGGGCAGUUGCUGACACUGAGGCGCGACAGCGUGGGGAGCAAACAGG